rfam:Sporothrix insectorum RCEF 264 scaffold_37, whole genome shotgun sequence.
GGGGUCUUUGUAUAAUGGUAAUACAUAUGACUUUUAAUCAUCAAAUUGUUGGUUCGAAUCCAACAGAUCCUA